UUAGUACUCCCUCCGUCCGAAAAUACUUGUCAUCAAAAUGAAUAAUUAUCCCUUUUUAUCCAUUUUGAUGACAAGUAUUUCUGGACGGAGGGAGUAGUUA
rfam:Triticum aestivum genome assembly, contig: Triticum_aestivum_CS42_TGACv1_scaffold_225273_3B